rnacentral:misc_RNA from 1 species
GUCGUGGUCCCUCCGCCGCCUCGAAACCUACACAAAACGACACGCACAGGCGAUCAUGGCCGAGCUAGCUAACCCCAACCCCACCGUGUUCGAGCCCACGCAUGACCCGCUCAAAGGCCGCACGGAUGCGGAGCGCGUGGCUGAGGAUGACGAGGACGCGGAGGACCCCAUCGACGCAUGGGAAGUGUUCGAAAUGAUCCGCCGCAUCCGCGACCCUGAGCACCCCAACUCGCUCGAGCAGCUGAAAGUCGUCGAGCCCUCGCUCAUCACCGUCGAUUGGAAGAAGCGGCACAUCCGUGUUCUCUUUACUCCGACGGUGCCGCACUGCAGCCUGACCACGCUGAUUGGUCUGAGCAUCCGUCUGCAGCUCGAGCGAUCGCUACCCGAGUACACGAAGGUCGACAUCUACGUCACCCCCGGCACCCAUGAGCAGGAGGCGCAGGUGAACAAGCAGCUCAACGACAAGGAGCGCGUUGCGGCCGCGCUGGAAAACUGCAAUCUGCUGAACGUGGUGGAGUCGUGCAUAAACGAGUUUGAUGAGUGACAAGACUACAACCCCUUCCUCGCGGCAGCGACGGUGUGAUCAUGGCUGCGGUUGUGGUGGCUGUUUGCGUGGCGGUUAUUCGUCAGCCAGCCAGUAGGAGUUGUGCGACGGCUGUAGCGUCGCUUCUCUGUAUGUGCUCUGUGAUGGCCAGCGACUUCUGUGUGCGCGUGUACAUUUUCCGUGCGCGCGUCUGUCUGGCACAGAGGGGGCGCGUGCCCGCGUGCCCGCGUAUCUUGUUCCUGUGUGCGUGUGCCCUAUCCAGUGCAAAGGUGAACCCCCCCCCUGCCGCCGCCGCCGCUCGGCUUCUC